rnacentral:rRNA from 1 species
AUUGAACGCUAGCGGGAUGCUUUACACAUGCAAGUCGAACGAGUGGCGGACGGGUGAGUAAUAUAUCGGAACGUGCCCAGUAGCGGGGGAUAACUACUCGAAAGAGUGGCUAAUAACGCAUAGAAUUGGAGAGGCCGAUAUCGGAUUAGCUAGUUGGUGGGGUAAAGGCUCACCAAGGCAACGAUCCGGAGCGGGUUUGAGAGGACGACCAGCCACACUGGGACUGAGACACGGCCCAGACUCCUACGGUAGGCAGCAGUGGGGAAUUUUGGACAAUGGGCGAAACCCUGAUCCAGCCAUCCCGCGUGUAUGAGAAGGCCUUCGGGUUGUAAAGUACUUUUGGCAGAGAAGCGGUAUCUGCAGAAUAAGCACCGGCUAACUCCGUGCCAGCAGCCGCGGUAAUAC